GUAACGGCUCACCAAGACGAUGAUGGGUAGCUGGUCUGAGAGGAUGGUCAGCCACACUGGGACUGAGACACUGCCCAGACUCCUACGGGAGGCUGCAGUCGAGAAUCUUGGGCAAUGCGCGAAAGCAUGACCCA
rnacentral:rRNA from 1 species